rnacentral:rRNA from 1 species
AACGAACGCUGGCGGCAGGCUUAACACAUGCAAGUCGAGCGCCCCGCAAGGGGAGCGGCAGACGGGUGAGUAACGCGUGGGAACAUACCCUUUGGUUCGGAAUAACUCAGGGAAACUUGAGCUAAUACCGGAUACGUCCGUAAGGAGAAAGAUUUAUCGCCAAAGGAUUGGCCCGCGUCCGAUUAGCUAGUUGGUGAGGUAACGGCUCACCAAGGCUACGAUCGGUAGCUGGUCUGAGAGGAUGAUCAGCCACAUUGGGACUGAGACACGGCCCAAACUCCUACGGGAGGCAGCAGUGGGGAAUAUUGGACAAUGGGCGCAAGCCUGAUCCAGCCAUGCCGCGUGAGUGAUGAAGGCCUUAGGGUUGUAAAGGCUCUUUUGUCCGGGAAGAUAAUGACUGUACCGGAAGAAUAAGACCCCGGCUAACUUCGUGCCAGCAGCCGCGGUAAU